GUGCUCACAUUGGCAGUACAUACACUAAAAUUGGGACAAUACAGAGAAGACUGGCACGGCCCCUGUGCAAGGAUGACACGCAAAUUCAUGAAGUGUUUCAUUUUUUU